UACUCAUAAAGAAAAUUACAAACAAAGUAUUAUAAACAUAAUUUACAAAGUGUUCUUAGAAACGAGUAAAACUUCAAUUUAGCUAAUUAACUAUCAUCUGUAAUUUUUACUUUCCUUUAUAGCAAACGAGCUAUCGACUAAUCGGAAGCAGGGGUUAUAUAAAAAACCGAAUAGAUUCACUACAGUGACCACAUUGUCCCCAUGGACUAUUCGACUUCUUCUUCAAACCUGUCUCAAAAACAAACUGCAUACCUCAUAACCUCUUCAGCGAAUUACAAUCUCAUUAAGUUCAUUCAUAGUCCAUUCGUGAUAAAAAAAAUGCAUUGUCACCAUAUCAACACAACCUCAUAACCUUUAAAUUUUAAAUCACUAUUCGGUAUUUACAACAUUUUAGUAAAAUUAUAAUUUUAGUUUGACAACCAAUAGCAUUAAAGCAAGAAAGCAAUACACUCACACGAGUAGCACUAAACAUAUGCAUUUUUUUUUUUACCUUUCUCCGCUGGGUACAUACAUAUUGAAACUACUUAACUUUUCAUUGUUCUUUAAAUUUUUUUAUUUAAGAGCACCCCAUAUUGUACGGAAAAUUCAGCUAAUGGAGUAGGUUGGCUGGAACGGACGAUUCUCACCUUGCAGCAAAAGCAGAUCUUAAAAUAUUCAGCCAAACUUUGCGAGACGCAUUUAAACUUCAAUAUAUAUGUAUGUACAUAUACAUAUUAUGACGGAGGCUUUCGUAUAGCUGGACUUCUGCUUAUCCGGUUUAGCUUGUCUAUGCUAUAUAAACCAUGUACCUAUAUGUAUGUCAAAUAUUGAAAUAAAGACUGAAUCUUUUGGCAAA